UACCUAGGUCCCAAGCGUUACUGAGAUUCACUGAGGUUUAAAGGGUGCGUAGGUGGUGUGUUAGGUCAGUUGUGAAAUCCCCGGGUUCAACCCGGGAAUAGCUUCUGAUACUGGCGUGCUUGAGGCCGGUAUAGGUUACUGGAACGCACGGUGUAGCGGUGAAAUGCGUACAUAUCGUCUAGGAACGCCAGUGAUGAAGACGGGUAACUAGCUUGGUUCUGAUACUGAGGCACGAAUGUGUGGGGAGCGAACGGUAUUACAUACCCCGGUAGUCCACGCCCUAAACGAUGCAUACUAGAUUGCAGCGGGUCUGACCCCGUUGCGGUCGUAGAGAAAUUGAGAAGUCUGCUGCCUGGGAAGUUCGGUCGCAAGGUUAAAACUCAAAGGAAUUGACGGGGGCUCACACAAGCGGUGGAGCAUGUGGUUUAAUUCGAAGCAACGCGAAGAACCUUAUCCUGGGCUUGACAUGCUGGAAGUAGAUCGUAGAAAUAUGAACGAUCGGUAUCCAAUCCGGAACCAGUACAGGUGCUGCAUGGCUGUCGUCAGCUCGUGCUGUGAAGUGUCGGGUUAAGUCCCAUAACGAGCGAAACCCUUAUCGUUAGUUGCUAACAGGUAAUGCUGAGCACUCUAACGAGACUGCCGGUGUUAAACCGGAGGAAGGCGGGGAUGACGUCAAGUCCUCAUGGCCUUUUUGCCCAGGGCUGCCCACGUGCUACAACGCCGUUGACAAACCGAAGCAAGACCGCAAGGUGGAGCAACUCGGAUAAAAAACGGCCCAGGUCAGAUUGAGGGCUGCAACUCGGCCUCAUGAAGUUGGAAUCGCUAGUAAUCGCGGAUCAGCUAUGCCGCGGUGAAUGUGUUCCUGAGCCG
rnacentral:rRNA from 1 species